rnacentral:rRNA from 1 species
CUUGCAACUAAAGAUGGCGACCGGCGCACGGGUGAGUAACACGUAUCCAACCUGCCGAUAACUCGGGGAUAGCCUUUCGAAAGAAAGAUUAAUAUCCGAUAGUAUAUUAAAACCGCAUGGUUUUACUAUUAAAGAAUUCGGUUAUCGAUGGGGAUGCGUUCCAUUAGUUUGUUGGCGGGGUAACGGCCCACCAAGACUACGAUGGAUAGGGGUUCUGAGAGGAAGGUCCCCCACAUUGGAACUGAGACACGGUCCAA